GAACUGCUUUCAUCUGGAGCUGGAGAGAUGGCUCGGGAGGCAAGCAUACUUGCUGUCCUUCCAGAGGACCCAGUCCAGGUCCCAGCACCCACAUCAGGAUGACAGUCACCUGCAACUCCAGCUCUCCAGCGUCCUGUGCCCUCUUCUGGCUGUGCUGGUCCUGAACACGCGUGCAGCACACACUUACUGUUUUGCAGGUACAUGCGUGGAUAUGUGUUGGGGAGCCGGAGGAUAAUUUUGAGUGUCCUUCCUAAGAAAGGCUUUUGUGACGGGGUCUCUCGUUGGCCUGGUGCUCACCAGUUCAGCUGGCUGAGAUUACAGGCCAGGGAGCUUGCCCAGCUGGACAGAGUGGCCCAGCUCACAGACUCUGUCCUCAGACGCCUGCUGCUGAGUCUCUCCACUACCCCAUCCUGCAGAUGUGGAGUCCCUACUCUGCCCUCAUCCGUGGCUUCUGCUCUCCAGUUGAGAACUCCCAUGUUUCCAUUUGUCUGCAGUGUGGUGGCCUCAGCCUCUGUGAGGCGGCUGUGCUACCACCAAGUGCCUGUCCCAUAACCUCAUCACCUGUGCGACUCAGUCUGUAUCUGCUGGCUUGCUUUUUAAGACUUACUUUUAUUUGCAUUUAAUAAAUGUUGUGGGGGGAGGGGACCGCAGAGGGGUGAAGGCAGAGGGUGGUGGUUCCCUGGAGGUUGUGGGUCACUGACCCCGGUGUGGGGUCCUCUGCUAGCGCAGCAGGCGCUCUCCAGUGCUGAGCCAGCUCUGCCGCCGGCUGCCUUCACUUCGGAACCAGGCGCACGCUGUCUGUCCUCUGCGUGACAAGUUAUUUGAGGUUGUAAAUUGGACAGUUUGACCAUCACGCUAUGAAGAAUUUGUUCCAAUCCUAGUAUCUGCUCAGGAAUGUUGCUUUUUCUGUCUUUACAGCCCAUCAAGCUAGCCAGCUCAGGCCCUGCUGCCUUCAGCGGUUCCUGGGUCCCUUUGUGUGAUUCUCCGGGUCUGCCUCUCACAAGUGUGACGGAAGGCCAGCCUGGGACUGGGAGGGGCCUUCCCACGCUCCUCCUUUCCUGGGACGCACAGACAGACUGUCUUUCACAGCUCAGGUGCCCCCCCCCCCCUCGGUUAAACUGUCCUUUUUGCUGUGCAAUUUUGAAUCUGAGUUUUCUACCUGGGGAAGAGCUGGGGGGGAGAUGAGACCAGAGAGCUCCCAGACAGCAUGCACACCACGCAAGAUGCUUCAGACAGGAGAAAGCAACCGGACAGGACGCUUCUACCUCAGAGGCCGGAAGAGGGUGUUUGAACUUGGAACUGUAGCGGCAGGCGUUUGUGGCACCCCCGGCUUGUUUCUGGGUGCUGGGUCUCAGGCUGAGGUGGACAGAGGAUUGCCACACCCAUGAGGCUGGUCGGAUCCCGAUGUGUCUCUGAAGAUAGCCAGUGCUGAAGAGAUGA